rnacentral:rRNA from 1 species
GACGAACGCUGGCGGCGUGCUUAACACAUGCAAGUCGAACGGAAAGGCCCUGCUUUUGUGGGGUGCUCGAGUGGCGAACGGGUGAGUAACACGUGAGUAACCUGCCCUUGACUUUGGGAUAACUUCAGGAAACUGGGGCUAAUACCGGAUAGGAGCUCCUGCUGCAUGGUGGGGGUUGGAAAGUUUCGGCGGUUGGGGAUGGACUCGCGGCUUGUCAGCUUGUUGGUGGGGUAGUGGCUUACCAAGGCUUUGACGGGUAGCCGGCCUGAGAGGGUGACCGGCCACAUUGGGACUGAGAUACGGCCCAGACUCCUACGGGGGGCAGCAGUGGGGAAUAUUGCACAAUGGGCGGAAGCCUGAUGCAGCAACUCCGCGUGCGGGAUGACGGCCUUCGGGUUGUAAACCGCUUUCGCCGGUGACGAAGCGUGAGUGACGGUAAUGGGUAAAGAAGCACCGGCUAACUACGUG